AUUCAAAUAGCUUAUAAUUGAGAGCAUAAUAUUGAAGAUAUUAAGGAAAUAAAAAUAUUUUUGAAUA
rnacentral:tRNA from 1 species